rnacentral:pre_miRNA from 1 species
UGCAACGUUUGACACUUCUUCAUAUUUGGAAUUUUUUUGCGAUUAGUAUUUUUAUUGUUAUUAGAUUAUAAAACAUAAAUAGCACUUUUACGCGUGACUAAAAUUUUUAAUUUUUCUAUAAAUUUUUUGAGUAAGAUGAUUAAACGUGGUACAAAGAAACCAACG